rnacentral:misc_RNA from 1 species
AACGCACAUUGCGCCCUUUGGUAUUCCUUAGGGCAUGCCUGUUCGAGCGUCAUUUCAAACUUCAAGCCCCCCCUUUAGCUUGGUGUUGGGCGUCUGUCCUCCCCCCGGGACUCGCCUCAAAUGCAUUGGCAGCCGGCACGUUGGCUUCGAGCGCAGCAGAAACGCGCGCGGCGUCCGACGGUGCCUGGCUCUCCAGGAUGCCUCCACCUCAAGUUUGACCUCGGAUCAGGUAGGGAUACCCGCUGAACUUAA